rnacentral:lncRNA from 1 species
ACCUCUAUUGUUGCAGCACUGACUUCUCCAAGACAUGUCAAGAAACUUAAUCUACAUCGCCAUUUGAGAACAACCCUGGGAUAUCCAGGAUUUAUUUGAUCGGAGAUCCAAAAAUGGGAUCUGGGAUCGGAAAAUGGGAUCUAUUAUCCCAAAAUGGUGAGCUCUCAUUGGUCAAAAAUGGAGUCAAUCAACCACCGUGUGCGAUGUUGGUGCAGAAUUAAGAUUAGAAUUCAGGGAGGACCUACAACUGUCUGUAUGUCCUAUGACUGCAGCUCAGCCUUACAGUAAGAAGAUCUGUGAAAAGUGUGGGGCAAAAUUUCUGGGCAUCUGAGGUAUCAGCAACUAACAUACACUCUUCUCUACUUUACUCUAGUCUACACAGGUUGAAUAGUAUGAAUAUAUUCUUAAUUAUCUCCCUGAGAGAAUACUCAGAUCUGCAUCCACAAUACUAACAUGACCUAAUGUGGGUGUAGACAAUGGCACGGUUUUAGAGGCCCUCCUCUUGGCUGCAGAGACAAUAGGAGGGCCUCUAAAAGGAGGGCCUCUUUUGCUGUUUUAUAGCUGAUUUCAUGCUAUUAUACACAUUUUGUCAUGGGGCUGAGAGGAAAUUUGCUGUUUUAAAGCUAAUUUCAUGUAGUUCUACACAUUUUCCCAUGGAUUAUGCUGUGUUUUUAUGCUAUCUGAGUGACUCAAACAAAAUCAAUGUGGCCCCACGCCAUAGUUUUUAUUUAGGUGAUUGUUAGUUCUCAUAGAUAAUUUAAAAAAUAUAUUCUCCAUUAUCUUUUCUACAUCUGUUAUAUCUGCUUUUAGUCAUUUAAAUUUACGCUGAGAACUUUUUACCAUCCUGAAAAUUAUAUAUUUUUAAAUAAAACAUAAUUCAGUCUUAUUUUACCUAUUUUUUUCAGUGGCGGCCACACUGCUAUGGAGCUUGUUGUGUCUAAGGUAUGGAGCUUGUUGUGUCUAGGUCAUGGAGCUUGUUGUGUCUAGGUCAUGGAGCUUGUUGUGUCUAAGGUAUGGAGCUUGUUGUGUCUAGGUCUGGAGUCUGUUGUGUCAGGGCUGGAGCUUGUUGUGUCUAAGGUCUGGAGCUUGUUGUGUCUAGGUCAAUGGAGCUUGUUGUGUCUCGGUCAUGGAGCUGUGUGUGUCUCAAGGUAUGGCUGUUGUGUCUCGGUCCUGGAGGUUGUUGUGUCUAGGGCAUGGAGCUUGUUGUGUCUAAGGUAUGGAGCUUGUUGUGUCUAGGUCAUGGAGCUUGUUGUGUCUAGGUCAUGGAGCUUGUUGUGUCUAGGUCAUGGAGCUUCUUGUGUAUAGGUCAUGGAGCUUGUUGUGUCUAGGUCAUGGAGCUUGUUGUGUCUAGGUCAUGGAGCUUGUUGUGUCUAAGGCAUGGAGCUUGUUGCCUCCAGACCAUAAGAGUACUGUAAGCCGUUUUUGCAAGCCUGAGUUAGAUGCAGCAUACAGGGCUUUGUCUUUUGGUGGGACGAACAAACAGAACCAUUGGAACAUGACGGUAAGAGAAAUGGGCCCAAAACAAUUAUGUGGUCGAAAUUCAGUAGAAUGAAAGAGCUGAAAGCAGUUAGGUCUUGUUUCUUUUCAAUGCCUGUCAAUUAAUUCGGUCCAUCAUUACCACUGUCCUUGCCCCUGAUGACUUUUGUUGGUUCUGGGAUGUUGGGUCGAUGAAAUUACACAGAGGGAAGAGAAUAAAUUAUGCCGAUAAUCCACAUUUUUCCAAGAUGCUGAUCAAAAAGAGGUUGCUAUUCCAAAGGGUUUGGAGGGAUGAUAAUAAUGGGCUAAUACUUGCUAUGAGUCUUUUUACCCUGUUUCCAUAGAAACACCUUUUCUUGUGUAUUUCUUGGAACCAGACUUCAUAUACAAAGAGGGGAAGAUGAAAAUCUGUCUGGAUAAAAAUAUGUAGAUUUUCAUAUAAUACGCCUGCCGCAAGCAUUAUCAUCAUCAAUAACUUAACUACCUUUGUUACAGUAAUAUUAUGUGAUAAUUAAUUAAUACUGUAUAUCAUUUAUUAUUUUCCCAGAGUUUUAUAAAGCUGAUAAUAUUAUUCCUUUUUAUCGUAGUUCUCUUCAAACAGACAUAUUUUCUUCAUUUCUAUUUUUACAAACAGCUGGAUGGAGCCUCCACUUCAAGACCGAUGGUUGGACCUGAAGAGCUGAGGUGGACGAGCAGAAGAGAGGAAGGAGAGGAGGGGAAUGUUGGGGGGAUGCUCAGUGGAACAGUUGGACACCAUAUCGUGGAUCCUUGGUCUCCCGGAUUUCAAUCUGGGGAAAAAAGAAAAGCGAAAGGUAGAGAGAGAGAGAGAGAGGAAUAAGGAAGUAACAGGAAUGAAUCUGGUAUGAAAUAAGGGUAGAGGGGGAGAGAGGAAUAAGGAAGUAACAGGAAUUGAUCUGGUUUGAAAUAAGGGUAGAGGGGGAGAGAGGAAUAAGGAAGUAACAGGAAUGGAUCUGGUAUGAAAUAAGGGUAGAGAGAGAGAGAGGAAUAAGGAAGUAACAGGAAUGGAUCUGGUAUGAAAUAAGGGUAGAGAGGGAGAGAGGAAUAAGGAAGUAACAGGAAUGGAUCUGGUAUGAAAUAAGGGUAGCGACACAAAUGUUGACAUUCUGGAUUGAUUAUAAUUGAUGCCCUAUUUCUUUCUCUUUAAUAGAAAACAAAUUCCUGUAGUGACCAUUAUUAUCAUUUAUAAUGAUACAAAUAAUUUAAUCUCAUCCAGCAUGUAGCCUAGUGGUUAGAGCGUUGGG